UCGGGAAUUUUGCACAAUGGCCGAAAGGCUGAUGCAGCAACGCCGCGUGAGCGAAGAAGGCCUUCGGGUUGUAAAGCUCUGUUGCCUGCGAAGAAGGGCCCUGUCAGGAAAUGGGCGGGGUUUGACGGUAGCAGGCGAGGAAGCCCCGGCAAACUACGUGCCAGCAGCCGCGGUAAUACGUAGGGGGCGAGCGUUGUCCGGAACUAUUGGGCGUAAAGCGCGCGCAGGCGGUCCCUUGAGUCUGGUGUGAAAGCCCACGGCUUAACCGUGGAGGGUAAUUGGAGACUGGGGGACUUGAGUGCAGAAGAGGAGGGCGGAAUGCCACGUGUAGCGGUGAAAUGCGUAGAGAUGUGGAGGAACACCAGUGGCGAAGGCGGCCCUCUGGUCUGUAACUGACGCUGAGGCGAGAAAGCGUGGUGAGCAAACAGG
rnacentral:rRNA from 1 species